ACAAGCGGUGGAUUAUAGUUGUUUAAUUCGACGCAACGCGAAGAACCUUACCAGGCCUUGACAUACUCGGCAAAGCUCUAGAGAGUAGAGUGGAGGUUAUCCGGGAUACAGGUGGUGCAUGGUUGUCGUCAGCUCGUGUCGUGAGAUGUUGGGUUAAGUCCCGCAACGAGCGCAACCCUUGUCUUUAGUUACCAUCAUUAAGUUGGGGACUCUAGAGAGACUGCCGGUGAUAAACCGGAGGAAGGUGGGGAUGACGUCAAAUCAUCAUGCCCCUUAUGGCCUGGGCUACAAACGUAAUACAAUGGCGUAUACAAAGGGAUGCGAAAGGGCGACCUGGAGCAAAACUCACAAAGUACGUCUCAGUUCAGAUUGGAGUCUGCAACUCGACUCCAUGAAGGCGGAAUCGCUAGUAAUCGCGGAUCAGCAUGCCGCGGUGAAUACGUUCUCGGGUUU
rnacentral:rRNA from 1 species